AAAGAGAUAUUUUCAUAUGGUAGAAAUACCUGAGAAAAUUCCCAACCCUUGUUUAUACAAAACAAAAAUCGUUGCUUCGGCGAGUAAAAGAAUACUAAGCCUUAAAAAAACUUUUUAUUCUUCGCCAGAAGACCUUAUAACCAAACUCUGAAUAAAACAAUUGUCUGACAAAUUUUGAUAAUGGCUUCAAAAACCAUUGACUAAAUAAAAUUA
rnacentral:misc_RNA from 1 species